rnacentral:rRNA from 1 species
UACGGAGGGGGUUAGCGUUGCUCGGAAUUACUGGGCGUAAAGCGCGCGUAGGCGGAUUAGAAAGUUGGGGGUGAAAUCCCGGGGCUCAACCCCGGAACUGCCUCCAAAACUACUAGUCUAGAGUUCGAGAGAGGUGAGUGGAAUUCCGAGUGUAGAGGUGAAAUUCGUAGAUAUUCGGAGGAACACCAGUGGCGAAGGCGGCUCACUGGCUCGAUACUGACGCUGAGGUGCGAAAGUGUGGGGAGCAAACAGG